GUCCUGUAGAAAGGACAGAAUUGGGGCCGCCCCGCUGCGGGAGGCCCGAGCGGCCGCAGCCCGGCCGCCCUUCCGCGGGGCUGGGCUAGCUGCGCGCCCCGCUCCCGUCUCCCCGCAGCGCUACCUUAAGGGGCUGGUUGACAUCAGCCGAGUGGGCUGGGCGGUGUGGGUGGGAUUUCCUGUGCUGGAGGUCAGCUGCUCCCGUCCCUCUCCCGUCCCUCCCAGCCGCCCGGGUCCCGCUCUCCCCGCGCCGGAGGGACCCGCAUCCUCCCGGCUCCCUCCUCUCGGGUUGGAUUUACAUAGUGAUGUGUAAGCUACAGGAUGCCCAGCAGCACUGGAAAGAGGUUUAAACCUACGAAAUACAUCCCAGUCUCCACAGCAGCUGCCUUAUUAGUGGGUUCGACUACUUUAUUUUUUGUUUUCACGUGCCCCUGGUUGACAAAAGCCAUCUCCCCAGCCAUCCCAGUGUACAAUGGACUCGUUUUCUUGUUUGUACUGGCAAACUUCAGCAUGGCAACUUUCAUGGACCCUGGAGUUUUCCCACGAGCAGACGAAGAUGAGGAUAAAGACGACGACUUCCGCGCGCCACUGUACAAGAACGUGGAGAUCAAAGGAAUCCAAGUACGGAUGAAGUGGUGUGCCACCUGCCACUUCUACCGCCCACCCCGCUGCUCCCACUGCAGCGUCUGUGACAACUGUGUGGAGGAUUUUGACCAUCACUGCCCAUGGGUCAACAAUUGCAUAGGACGGAGGAACUACCGCUAUUUUUUUCUCUUCUUGCUGUCCUUAAGUACGCACAUGGUUGGAGUCUUCACCUUUGGGCUCAUCUUCGUACUAAACCAUAUGGAAAAGCUGGGAGCAGCUCAUACUACCAUUACAAUGGCUGUCAUGUGUGUGGCUGGGUUAUUCUUUAUCCCAGUCAUUGGUCUCACUGGCUUCCAUAUUGUUCUAGUGGCCCGAGGGCGCACAACGAAUGAACAGGUGACAGGGAAAUUCCGUGGUGGAGUGAAUCCCUUUACCCGAGGAUGCUGUGGAAACGUGGAACAUGUGCUCUGCAGCCCCUUGGCUCCCAGGUAUGUGGUUGAGCCCAAGAAAAAGCAAGCAGUGAGUGUGAAGCCUCCUUUCCUGAGACCUGAUUUGUCUGAGCGACAGAUCACAGUGAAGAUCAGUGACAACGGCAUCCAAGCCAACCUCAACCGGAGCAAGUCUAAAAUCAGCCUGGAAGGUCUGGAGGAUAAGAGUAUGGAUGUGCAACCACCUCUCCCACCCAAAGGAGAUCCAAGCAAGUACUCUGAGCUAAAAGGGCAACUGGGCACCAGUGAAGAAGGUGGCCUCUCACCCAAACUUAUCAGCCCUCCUACUCCUGCCAUGUACAAAUACCGACCAGCUUUCAGCAACAAUCCCAAAGUCCACUACCACGCCACGGCCGAGCAGAUCACCUUGCAGGAGGGACACAGUCAAGGGGCUCUGAUAGAAGAGGAUGGCAGGAGCCUUGAUUACCAGUCCGAACCCAGCUUGGACAUCCCCAGCUACCGGAAGAGCUCCCUACACAAGACCUAUCAGUCUUCCCCACUCCAGAUAGAUUCCUUGGCCAUCAACUCACGAUCCCUGAGCCUGAAAUCUUCUGGCAGGAGAGGGACAGACAAAGUGCCCCUUCAUCCAAUGAAGUCUGAAGGGGCGGCUUCCACCCCUUACAAAAGCAUCUUUUCUCCCAAUUCCCUGUCUAACAGAAAUGGAAGUCUUUCUUAUGACAGUUUGCUGAACCCCAUGUCUCCCUCGGGGAGGAAGUGCAUUGCCCAUUCUGCAGUCAGCUCUGUCGGGUACCACUCCCCAUAUUUGUCAGCCAAAAUGUGCCACCUCCGGGGCAGCGAGCUGCAGCGCCCGCCGCCGCAGAGCUUCAGCCCGGUGCUGGGGAGCCCAGCCCCGCACCAGCGAGACCCCUCCCCAGUGCGCUACGAUAACCUUUCCAAGACAAUUAUGGCAUCCAUCCAGGAAAGGAAAGAGAUGGAAGAGAGGGAGAAGCUCCUCCACUCGCACCCUGACUCGGUGUUUGCAGACUCGGGUGUCUAUGACACGCCCAGCUCCUACAGCCUUCAGCAAGUGAGCACGCUCUCGGAAGACCCGCGCAGCAUGGCCAUGAGAUACGGAUCCAGGGACAAUCUGAUGGCUGCCACCAGCUUUAGCACAAGGAACCCUCUACUGCAGUCCUCAGUGUCUUCACUCUCAAGUGCAAUGACAAGAGCACCAAGGACUUCCACAACCUCUCUGCAAGCUGAUUUAGCCAAUAAUAAUGUGCAGUCCCAUCAAGCACUACAGGGCAGGGUGAGCAAUGGCUCCUACAAAUCCCCAGGCCACCAGGUCCCACCGUCUCCCACAGGGAUGCCUAGGUCACCCUCUUACGGAGGCCCGAAGGCUGUGUCGUUUGUAAACACUGUGGAAAUUACAGAGGUGCAAUCAGUGGGAGCACAGAGGGAUGACAUGCAGUUGAAGACACCUCACAGUAAAAUAAAUGGACAGCCAAAAGGAAUAGCCAGGUUGGGUUCAACAUCAAGUUCCCAGGGGACACCUGUCAGCCCUGCUAGACACUCAAAUGUUAAGAAGGUGUCUGGAGUUGGUGGAACAACCUAUGAAAUUUCAGUGUAAAAUAAAAUGAAUUAAAAACAAAGAGCCAUCCACUCAGCCAGCCAUGAAGCUAGGAGCACUGUGAAGACUCAAAUAACAACAAAGAAGGAGCAGCAGCAGUCGGCCACUCUCCUUUUCUUGUUUUGGGUUUGUUCCGUUUUCAUCUUUCUCUUCUGGCCAAAAACCAGCUGCAGCCUUAUUCUUGAGGGAAUAAUAGAACUGUACAGUCUAUCGACUCUUCCUGAACCAACGGGCGGGAACUGGCUGUAACCUAAGACUACCACAGAGCGGAUUUCCUUCCUGCAAGAGAGCGCUGAAGCCAUUGUGCACGUGUCUGUCCAACCACUCUUUUGUGUACCAGUCGUGCUGUGCAAAAGUACGGUCAGUCCAGGAUCAGUCACUUUUCCCAUGCCCUUCCCAGUGCUUCUGGCCAGCGAUGUGUCCAGCAGGAGCCAGAGGACCAGCCGCUGUUUUCCUGCUGACAUGGCAAGCAGGGUCCCUGCGCUGGGUAGGAGCUUCUCCUUUCCCGUGGGCACUGCAGCUCAGGUUCCUCCUCCUGGGAAGGAACAAGACAAGGCCACUUGGGCUGCAGACACCACGUCAUCUUUAAAAGCCUCCCUGGUCCCAGAUGGGGGCAGGAGGAAGGAUAGCAACAGCUUCUCCCUGUCUGCCAUGGGCCUCCCUGUGUGUGAAGUUGUGUGUGUGCGCGCGUGUUUGUCUCCAUGGAAAAGGACCGCAACACCGGAGAGGAUCUGCCACUCUGACCUCUGCUCCCUCUGGGUUUGAAAGGCUUCUCUGACCCAGAAACAAAACCAGGCAGAUAAGAAAGGAAAUGUUUGGAUGGAAACAUAUUUUAACCAGCUGUCAGCUGCUUUCCCUGCACCCUCCUUACCUGUUGGAUUUAGGCAAUAACAGAGUUUCCUGCCUUGCCCUGGUGCCGUCAGUGUAAUCCCGCAGCAAGGUUAUCAUGAGCUGUCAAAUUUACAGUGUGUGUAACUGAGCCAAGUGCAUCUAAAGGAUAUAAAUUUUCUGUCUGCCUAAUUACUAGCACAUUCCCUCUGGUCUUCAAUACUGUUAGACAAAGGAUUUUCAAUUUGGGUUUUUCCCCCCUGGGGAACAACUUUUUAAAAUAAUAUCAAUCAAAUCUAUUUAACAUUCUGAGGUUUCUUUUUCCUGUCUCCAGAAAACUACAUUUACUUCAUUGUAUUUAAAGACAACUUUACCACAAAAAACAAGAAAGGGGUGCAUUACUUUUGCCAAAAAUACGAGGACUCUGGCAAAGCUAAUUUUGGGACAAAUAGAUUUUUAUUUCUCUGUUCCUUAUCUCCUUUUCCUUACCAUUCAGUUACCACCUCAGAAGUCAAAAGUACUGAGAUCUGGACCAAUGCUAACUAGCCAGAUCACGUGUGCAAUUAAGAAUAUCCUGAGCGACUGUUGCCAAAGUCACUAGAAAUUAUUAUUUAUCUCUGAGCCAGUCAGCAUACGAGACCUCGACUUCCCACCUGGUUCUCUUGAUUAAUACUUUUGAUUAGAGAUCAAAAUCCAUCAUUUUCAGGAUAUUUGUUUCAAGGGGUUAAAUCUUUUACAGUCCUUGACUAUAAUGGAAAGCUCUCCAGGUAUUUGGUAGCAAUUCAGAAUGUGUUUGUAACAUCUUAUUUGUUUUCAUGUAUGUUGAGGUUAAUUAUUCCAGAAGGCAAAUAUUGACCUUAAUUUUGCCUGGUUAAAAUUUAUAUUUUGAUUUGAUGAAUCUUGACAUCUGCUGCAAUACAUGGUUAUUAUGUCCCUUGUAUAUCACAUUAUUUUUUGGAGACAAAGGUUGAAGAGAACAUAAGAAAGUUAAUCAUCUCUCUGUGUAAUGCUCUAUGUUGCCUGAAGGGAGAAACAUGGAAAGCAAUGCAUCUGCAAUAGGCUAAAGUUCUGAGGGAGUAAAGUAGAAAUCGGUGUGCAUUUUAUUGCCUUGGUGAUGUUUUAAAUGCUUGGUGUAGGGAUAUUGCAGAGCAGAGAAGCAAUAGUUUUUUCUAUGCAGAUUUGCUCACUGGCAUGUAGAACACUGUCUUUAGUUGAAGGCACUAUGGUACUAGAAGGAUGCUGGCAAACUGGAUCAGGUACAGAUGGAGCAAUAUAUUAAAGAACUGGAUGGACUAGCUAAUGAGAAGAUUUAAAGGGCUAAAACAUGCCACUGGAUAAGCAAUGAAGUGGAAAUUGAGUAUCAUAAUUUCACAAAUAUAUUACUUAAAAGUUGUAAAACCAAAGGUAAAUCAAAGGGUUGUCACUGGUAACCAAUGGUCUACAUUUAGAAUGGAGCAGAAAAUAUGGAGAGGAAGGGGCAGUGGAAUAGUCUUCCAAGCAGAAUUUUGGAUGAACUGUUUAGGACAGUCAAAAUCUAUUUGGACAAAUCAUUAAAAAAUUUCUGAGAGGUGAGCCUGUAGUGACAAGGGGUAGACCAGAUGGCCUUACAGAUUUCUUCCAUCUUUAGCUGUUAUUAAUCUGCAGUCUACCCUGAUGUUAACUCCUCAGGAAGAUGCAGUACUUCUUUAAGGACUGGAAUUCACUCUGGUGCAUAGAGUAUCACAAGAAUUACUUGUUUUUAAAGUAUCACGUAUGCCAUAUGUAAGCCCUGAAAAAGAGGAGGUAUGAAACACAUGGGAUUAAGGAGUGAGACAAGGGCACAUUUUAUCAUGUAUCUUUGAAUACGUACAUGAAAUUCAUGCAAGCAAGGCUGAAAAUUUGCACCAAUGUAAUAUUUGAGAUUUGCAUCCCAGUGAUGCUCCACUUUGAUCGUUCUUUCUCUUGCAUUUAUAAAUGAAAAAGCUACUGAGGAACUUGAAGGGCCAAAGAGCCUUUGAAGUUAACUACAUUAGUUCAUGAGAGAAUUUCUCAGUAAGACUAAACACAGUAUUGUGUGUAUAAAGCACUAAUAUCCAGGGUUAUUUUGACAUAGUUCACAAGGGAUAAGGGAGAAAAAAAGCAUGCACUGUGUCAGUACAGGUUCAGCAGUAAGGAUUAUGUAUUUUGUGAGUAGUUUUGCCCACAGUUGAGAGACAUUCAGCUUUUUCAUAGGUUUACAAUGGUACCAAAGUCUUUUUUUCUUUUUUCCUUUUGAGGUUUGCAUUUAAUUCAGUGCACAUAGCCUGGAGGAAAUUAUUCAGAUUUUCUGAAAGAAUAAUCUAAGCAGAACUGUUAACAGGAGAUUGCAUGCAGCAAAUUCAGCCUCAUUUCCAUCCAAGGCACUGAACCUGCAGCUAUUUACUUAUAAAUGUAAGUGUCUGUUCCAUAGUUCCUGUUGUGGGACUGGGGACCUAUUUAUUAAAUCUAAUUUUUAAGCAAAAUCCAGCCCAUAUUAUAGUUCUUUAAGCAGUUUACAGAUCAGCAGUAAGGUUCUUCUGCCCAGAUACCCUCUUUUUACAGACACUGCAGGCCAAACCUUCAGCUGGUAUAAACUGGCGUGGCUCCAUGAAAGCUCCUUUCAUUGAUGCUAAUUUAUAAUAGGUGGGGAUCAGCCAUGAAAAUCCAGCACGAGUUAACACAUCCUGUAAAGUAGCUUCUUUAUUUUUGUCAUGCUUAUUUCAUGUUUCAAAAGUCUUAAAUAUUUUCAACAUGUUUUUAUUUGUAGCUGUGGAUUGUAUUACUUAUUUAAAAAAAGAGCAAUAGGGUUUUUUAGUUUACGCAUCAGUUUUCAUUGCAUAUUGCAUUUUAUUAUCUGUUUGUUCCCUGUUCAUACGCUCCCAUUUAGCCUCCAGGUUUUCAUUGUAGUACUUUUCUGCCUUGAAAAGUUGGAUCUCUAUAUCUUUAAUUGUAUAAUAUAUUGAAUAUUAUGGAAUUAAAUGUACCUUGCUACAUGGGUGGGAGAGAGAGAAAAUAUUUUUACUUGAAGCCUUAAUAUUUUCUUUUUUUACUACUUUGUUUGUUGACCUCAUAGGAAAGUCUGAAUAGCAAAGACUUUGAAACUCUGGGCCAAAUACUGCACUGACAGACAACCAGCAUUUGGCCCCCAUGUCAAAACUGGAUGCAGACAUAACCUGAAGUGAACAAGGGAAAAAGCCUCAGGGUGGCAUGUUUUCCUGAAGAUCAGUAAGCAAGUACAUUAAAGAAGUCUUCAAGUCUUGAAUUUUUAAGGAAGAUGCUUUUGUUUGCUGAGAUGGUUCACGGUGCACUGCCCUUUCUCACUUGCACUUGUGCAAUACCUGAGCUGGAAGAGCAAAACUGGAAAGGCAAGUUCCAGUGCAAAGGACAAAACUGACAAAAUAUUAAAAGAAGUGACUGCAGGUUAAAUUUCAUUUUCAAGAUGCCGCUGGUAGAGUAGGAGAUACGGACAAGUUUAGGUUCACAUUUUGGAACAUAAUAAGGAGAGACAAAGGAAACUAUUUAUACAGCCUGUAUAUUAUGGAUCCAUCUGGCCUUGAGAUCAGCCCUUAUUGUCUCAUUGACAGAUACCUAAAACAGCAGACUUAAAAC